rnacentral:lncRNA from 1 species
UUUCUCUCAAAAUAAAUAAAUAAACUUCAAGAACAUAAAAAAAAUAAAGUAAAAAUUGCCUAAUGUUAAACACUGUGCUUCAGAACUCUGGAACUCUCACUCUUAAUCAUUGACUAUAAGUCCUCAUAAAGGCACUUUAGAAGAAAAUCUCCCAGUGUGAAUAUACAUUAUUCUACUGAUUGAAAAGUGUCUCGUGUAACAGAUGAAAAAGGGAUCUCAACAAAGCAUAUCUUUUUGAAAUUUCAUAGUAGGAAUGAGGAGUAGUAACUAAAAGCUUCAGAAAGAAUAAACAUCACCUACUCAGAAAUGGAGAAUCACAUGACGUAAGGCAUUUUAAACUAAGUUUCAUUACUAGAAAGAAGAUCACAGAGAACAUUCUCAAAUUUGGGAGAAGUAAAUUUUAGCCUAGAAUUUUAUGCCCAGUCUUUUAAGCAGUAGACGACAGAAUGAAGACAUUUACAAACAAGUAUGAUCUGUGAGAACUUACCUGCUAUGAAUUCUUUUUUAGGGAGCUCCUUCCGAGUGAACUGCAGCAAAAGCAAAUGAGCAAACCAAGAGAGAAGACAGCGGAUUUGGGAAACCAUGACUGAGAUACAAGAGUGUGAUAAUACCAGAAUCAUGUCCAGGCCCUACAUCCUGAGGAAUCCCGAGAUCUCUGAGCCAAGACUGAAGCCAAAUAAGGAAAAGCUUCAGGAGAAGGUCAUUAAGGAAAAAGUGAUCAUUUGGGAAGCCAAAGCAGGAAAACAAACCUGUCCUGAAUCAAAACCACCUGUAAACACCUCCCAGCCCCCUCCCCCACCGUGUGCUGCGAGGUAGUGGGUCUCAAAGUCUGUCGCCCAGACCAACAGGAUCCUGUAUAUCCUGACAACUUAGAAAUGCGGAUUCUCAGGUCUCAAACAGUCCUGUUUAAUCAGAAGCUUUGACAAGCAAAAUGGGAUCCAAAGGUACAAAAUUUACAGUUAUAAAAUACACAAAUCAUGGGGAUGUCAUGUACAGCACGGUGACUAUAGUUGAUAACACUGUAUUGCAUAUUUGACAGCUGCUAUGAGGCGAUCUUAAAUAUCCUCAUUAGAAGAAAAAAAUUGUAACUAUGAACGGUGACGGGUGUUAACUAAACAUGGUGGUGAUCAUGUCACAAUAUAUAUAAAUCCUACCAUUACGUAGUAUACCUGAAGCUACUAUAACAUUAUGUAUCAACUAUAUUCAGUAAAAAAACAAAACAAACAACAAAAAAAAAAAACAAGCAAACAAACAAAACAAGCCAUCCACAUUAUUCUGAUGUGCUUCAGUUUGAGAACCGCUGCUACAAAGGAACCACUCAGAUUUUCGAAGGUCGGAACCUUUCAAACGAGAUGAUUCUGAGCGAAGCAAGGACAAGUCUUGGGGAAUCCCAGUCUGAGGCUACUCCCUGGCUCACUUUUUCCCUAUUAUGCCUGCUUGGAUGUCACUGCAUUGACAUCCCCUGAGUGACAAAUGCCACAGGGACUCCAGUGACCAUCAGGUGUUUCCAGGAGUCCCCUUCAGGAAGCAGCAUUCCUACAGGAACGUGAUGCAUUUCUCCCCAUGACUCACUGCCUGCCAAGGUAACUUCCCCUUCUGCUUUCAGCCUUCGCUCUGCCUCGCGACUGUGAGCCUUGGGAGAAAAUUAACUUUUGUUGACUCCGGACAUUAUGCACUCAUCUCUUUCCUACCUUCCCACCCCUUCCUGUUCAGUCUUCCUCCAGGCAUCCCCCUUACGGCCUGACUUCAGCAAGAUGCUGCGGUUUAAAUGUGGGUCAUGCAUUGAGCAGUGUGCGCCAGAAGCCAGUGCGACCUGCUUUGCUCACACCCCGUCGAUUUCAAAUGAUCCCACUUUCAAUUCUAUUCCAAACCUCUAGGUGAUGCCUCCCUGGCACACAAUGGCUGAGACAUCUCAGCACUGCUGUGCCCACUGAGAAUCCGUUAAAUACAGAGAAGAGUUACUGGGCUUUAGUCCGAGAAGGGUUUGGUGAAAUUUCCCCUAUUUGUUGUAUACACAUAAUAUCCCGAUGUAAUGUACCCCUGCACAGAGAUUGCUCUAUUAGGAGGCAUCCGAGGGUACAUGCUGUAACAAAUGCAUUUAAAUCUUUUCGAUCUGUGGAUUCCUAGGUUGUUUAUCUUUUGCUAUUCGCUCCGUGUGCCUAACCUUUGCCAAACAAUCGCAGAGCUGUGUCCUGGCCACAGGUUUUAUUUGCUGCCUUUAGUCAUUUUCGAUUUCUUAGCAGAAGCAAAUACAAGGGUAAAAGUCAAUGGAAAGCAGGUUUAGAUAAGCUCCAUUCCGUCCAUACACAUUGCCAAGAAUCCCUGCGUGUUCUUGGGGCAAGGAAGGAGUUUCUGUUCUGAUUUGGAACACCAUAAAUCAAACAACUACAGUUCAACCACCCCCAAGACUGCUGACACGGCCCCCUCCCAAUAUUUAUUGCCAAAUGUACGAACUUACAAAUGCCAGCAUGAGUAUGCUGCCUGCACCUGGCAAAUUGUUUCUGGUUUGUCAGAAAAUCCAGGGGCUCCUUUUGUUUGAUGUUAGGCUUGUUCGGUUAUUGUUUCAGUGCCGUUUGCAUGACAAUCAUCUCACAGCGUCAGAGAGGGUGGGAAUCACCUGGAGAACCUCCAGGCCUCCUGUGGCAUAGUUCUUUUCUCUAUAAACACAAACUGACAAGCCUCUCUUCGUAUGUGCCAACAGUGAAACAUUUCAAAGACAGAGGUGGAGAGCGAGAAAGUGUUUUCCAAGCCAUCUGGCAGAGUUAGUUGUUAUUUACAUGGGUGAGAAAACAAUGUGUCUGAUGACCAUGUCGCGAGCAUCCUGUGUGCCACUCUGCUGGGGACAGCGGACACAGGUCCUGCCCACAGGAGGCUUACAUCCUCUAGCACCAUUUAGGGAUAAUAAAGGGAGAUUGCUGAUGAAUCUGACUCUAUUA